rnacentral:tRNA from 1 species
GGAAGGCUCGCAUAGCGGACGAGUGCGCCUGUCUCGAAAACAGGAGGGCCGCGAGGUCCCCGGGGUUCGAAUCCCCGGCCUUCCGCCA